AGUCGAACGGUAAAUAUUUAGCAAUAAAUAUGAGAGUGACGUACGGGUGCGUAACACGUAUGCAACCUACCCUUUACAGGUGGAUAGCCCGGGGAAACUCGAAUUAACCCACCAUAAUAUUAUUGGAUGGCAUCAUUUGAUAAUUAAAUCACCAGAGGUAAAGGAUGGGCAUGCGUCUGAUUAGUUAGUUGGCGGUGUAACGGACCACCAAGACGAUGAUCAGUAGGGGAACUGAGAGGUUGAUCCCCCACACUGGCACUGAGAUACGGGCCAGACUCCUACGGGAGGNAGCAGUAGGGAAUAUUGGUCAAUGGAUGGAAGUCUGAACCAGCCAUGCCGCGUGCAAGAAGAAGGCCUUCUGGGUUGUAAACNNNUUUUGCCAGGGGAUAAAAUUUCCUUGCGAGGAACAUUGAAAGUACCUGGUGAAUAAGCCACGGCUNNNNNCGUGCCAGCAGCNNNG
rnacentral:rRNA from 1 species